GCGGACGUGGUGGAAUUGGUAGACACGCAAGCUUGAGGGGCUUGUGGCCGUAAGGUCGUGAAGGUUCAAGUCCUUUCGUCCGCA
rnacentral:tRNA from 3 species